rnacentral:rRNA from 1 species
GUAGUCCACGCCGUAAACUAUGGAUGCUAGCUGUAAGAGGUAUCGACCCCUCUUGUAGCGAAGCUAACGCGUUAAGCAUCCCGCCUGUGGAGUACGAGCGCAAGCUUAAAACAUAAAGGAAUUGACGGGGACCCGCACAAGCGGUGGAGCGUGUUGUUUAAUUCGAUGGUAAGCGAAGAACCUUACCCAGGUUUGACAUCCCGAGAAGACUUCCGAAAGGAAAUUGUGCCGUAAGGAACUCGGUGACAGGUGAUGCAUGGCCGUCGUCAGCUCGUGUCGUGAGAUGUUUGGUUAAGUCCAUCAACGAGCGAAACCCUUAUAGUUAGUUGUAUUUUUCUAGCUAGACUGCCCUGGCAACAGGGAGGAAGGGGGGGAUGAUGUCAGGUCAGUAUUUCCCUUACAUCUGGGGCUACAAACACGCUACAAUGGCCGGUACAAAGGGCAGCCAAGUCGCAAGACGGAGCAAAUCCCAUCAAAGCCGGUCUCAGUUCGGAUAGCAGGCUGAAACUCGCCUGCUUGAAGCCGGAAUCGCUAGUAACGGUAGGUCAGCACACUACCGUGAAUA